UGGAGGAAGAGGCCACGAGUAUGCAGA
rnacentral:piRNA from 1 species